rnacentral:rRNA from 1 species
UUAGGAAUAUUGGACAAUGGGCGAAAGCCUGAUCCAGCCAUGCCGCGUGUGUGAUGAAGGCCCUAGGGUUGUAAAGCACUUUCGUUGGGGAUGAUAAUGACCGUACCCAAAGAAGAAGCACCGGCUAACUUCGUGCCAGCAGCCGCGGUAAUACGAAGGGUGCAAGCGUUGUUAGGAAUCACUGGGCGGAAAGAAUGCGUAGGCGGCUUAACAAGUCGAGAGUGAAAUCCCAGGGCUCAACCCUGGAACUGCUUUCGAAACUGUUUUGCUAGAGUCCCGGAGGGGUUAGCGGAAGUCCGAGUGUAGAGGUGAAAUUCGCAGAUAUUCGGAGGAACACCAGUGGCGAAGGCGGCUAACUGGACGGGAACUGACGCUGAGGCAGGAAAGUGUGGGGAUCAAACA